rnacentral:rRNA from 1 species
UAGCAUAUCAAUAAGCGGAGGAAAAGAAACCAACAGGGAUUGCCUCAGUAACGGCGAGUGAAGCGGCAACAGCUCAAAUUUGAAAUCUGGCCCCAGGCCCGAGUUGUAAUUUGCAGAGGAUGCUUUUGGCGCGGUGCCUUCCGAGUUCCCUGGAACGGGACGCCAUAGAGGGUGAGAGCCCCGUACGGUUGGACACCAAGCCUUUGUAAAGCUCCUUCGACGAGUCGAGUAGUUUGGGAAUGCUGCUCUAAAUGGGAGGUAUAUUUCUUCUAAAGCUAAAUAUAGGCCAGAGACCGAUAGCGCACAAGUAGAGUGAUCGAAAGAUGAAAAGCACUUUGAAAAGAGGGUUAAACAGCACGUGAAAUUGUUAAAAGGGAAGCGCUUGUGACCAGACUUGCGUCCGGUGAAUCACCCAGCUCUCGCGGCUGGGGCACUUUGCCGGCACAGGCCAGCAUCAGCUCGCUGUCGGGGACAAAAGCUUCGGGAACGUAGCUCUCUUCGGGGAGUGUUAUAGCCCGUUGCAUAAUACCCUUCGGUGGGCUGAGGUACGCGCUCCGCAAGGAUGCUGGCGUAAUGGUCAUCAGCGACCCGUCUUGAAACACGGACCAAGGAGUCAACCUUAUGUGCGAGUGUUUGGGUGUUAAACCCCUACGCGUAAUGAAAGUGAACGCAGGUGAGAGCUUCGGCGCAUCAUCGACCGAUCCUGAUGUUCUCGGAUGGAUUUGAGUAAGAGCAUAUAGGGUUGGACCCGAAAGAAGGUGAACUAUGCGUGUAUAGGGUGAAGCCAGAGGAAACUCUGGUGGAGGCUCGCAGCGGUUCUGACGUGCAAAUCGAUCGUCAAAUAUGCGCAUGGGGGCGAAAGACUAAUCGAACCUUCUAGUAGCUGGUUUCCGCCGAA